rnacentral:rRNA from 1 species
UAGAGGGAAUUCCUUGUGGAGCGGUGAAAUGCACAGAGAUAAGGAAGACCACCAGUGGCGAAGGCGCUCUACUGGGCCAUGACUGACACUGAGAGACGACAGCUGGGGGAGCGAAAAGGGAUUAGAUACCCUUGUAGUCCCAGCCGUAAACGAUGGAUACUAAGUGCUGUUUGAAGCAGUGCUGUAGCUAACGCGUUAAGUAUCCCGCCUGGGAAGUACGUAGGCAACUAUGAAACUCAAAGGAAUUGACGGGGGCCCGCACAAGCGGUGGAUUAUGUGGUUUAAUUCGAUGCAACGCGAAGAACCUUACCAGGGAUUGACAUACUGAGAACUCUCUAGAGAUAGAUUGGUGCCCGAAAGGGAACUCAGGUACAGGUGGUGCAUGGCUGUCGUCAGCUCGUGCCGUGAGGUGUAGAGUUAAGUCUCGCAACGAGCGCAACCCUUGUUUUUAGUUAACUUUCUAAAAAGACUGCCGGUGUAAACCGGAGGAAGGAGAGGAUGACGUCAAGUCAGCAUGCCCCUUAUAUCCUGGGCUACACACGUAAUACAAUGGUUGAGACAAUCGGUAGCGAACUCGCGAGAGCAAGCCAAUCUGCUAAACUCAACCUCAGUUCGGAUUGUAGGCUGCAACUCGCCUACAUGAAGCCGGAAUCGCUAGUAAUCGCCAGUCAGCUAUAUGGCGGUGAAUACGUUCCCGGGCCUUGUACACACCGCCCGUCACACCACGGGAGUAGGUUUUACCCGAAGUAGUGAUCCUAACCCUCUGUGGAAGGAAGCUCCUAAGGUACAGCU